rnacentral:lncRNA from 1 species
AGGUGGAGCUUGUGAUUUGGAUUUGUAAAAUCCAUGUAAUUACUUUCAUGGGUGCUCAGUGCUCACGCUCAUGAGCUCAUCAAUUGAAUUAGCAAAGUAUGUUUAAGUUAAAUGCCUACUUUGUGGAACCUGUCUAAGUUGGUUUAGCUUUAGGGUGUUCAAACAUAUGUUUAUGUUCUAAAGGGAAGCAUCUUCUAUUUUUU